UGCAAUUCUAAUGCACAGUUAGCGUGGAGAGCGCCGCAUCUGGGGGAAAACACACCCAUGGGCCGAGGAGGGUCAUCUGCAGGGCCGAGAGCUGUCCCUCCACCUGGUCUUCUAGUCGGCUUCCUGUCUCUCGCUCCCCUCCCCAGCCCUGCCCUGGAGAGUCAUUCGGAAGUCGACCCAGAGCGGAGAAUGGACAGCCGGUCAUGUGCCUGGAUGUCCAGGAGAUGCCCUGGCUGCUCUUCGGCUCUGCUGGGCAUGAAGCCCAAGACCUCACACGUGCUAGAAUGAAAGGCUUGUUUGGGUCCCCAGGACAGAGAUGACAAGACAGGGACAGGAAACCAACAGAACGGUGACUGCUUUCCGCUUGGCCCCAGACGCAAGCAGCUGCAAAAGCUCAAAGUCAGAAAUGAGGUUCACGUAGGUGACGCCGCCGUCCCCAGUCGGGGAGAUGGAAUACUCCCACCGCCUCCGGGCUAGAGGGCCCUUGAGGAUAAGGGACACUCAGCAGCCUUCCUAGGCCAGCAGCAGCGGGAGUGAGAGGACCCCAGGCCCGUCCUAGAGGGCAUGUUCUGGCUGCUCUUCUGCUCCUUCCAGCCCUGUCCAGAGGAACUUGGCUGUUUUCCAUCCUGUGAACGAUUUUAACUGGAAAUAAAAAAAAAAUAGGUUCUGUUGAAAUUGUAUCAUGUUUUCUCAUGAAUGGGGGUAAAAUGGAAACCAGGGAGACUGGCUUAGAAGCAGUUGAUCCUGAUUAAGUGAGAAGUCAGUGAGGCCCCAAAGUCGGCAGCCGUAGAAUGGAAAAGUGGAGGUGGAGUGAAA